UAGGGAAUCUUCGGCAAUGGACGAAAGUCUGACCGAGCAACGCCGCGUGAGUGAAGAAGGUUUUCGGAUCGUAAAACUCUGUUGUUAGAGAAGAACAAGGACGUUAGUAACUGAACGUCCCCUGACGGUAUCUAACCAGAAAGCCACGGCUAACUACGUGCAAGCAGCCGCGGUAAUACGUAGGUGGCAAGCGUUGUCCGGAUUUAUUGGGCGUAAAGCGAGCGCAGGCGGUUUCUUAAGUCUGAUGUGAAAGCCCCCGGCUCAACCGGUGAGGGUCAUUGGAAACUGGGAGACUUGAGUGCAGAAGAGGAGAGUGGAAUUCCAUGUGUAGCGGUGAAAUGCGUAGAUAUAUGGAGGAACACCAGUGGCGAAGGCGGCUCUCUGGUCUGUAACUGACGCUGAGGCUCGAAAGCGUGGGGAGCAAACAGG
rnacentral:rRNA from 1 species